rnacentral:rRNA from 1 species
AUUGAACGCUGGCGGCAUGCUUUACACAUGCAAGUCGAACGGCAGCGCGGGCUUCGGCCUGGCGGCGAGCGGCGAACGGGUGAGUAAUGCAUCGGAACGUGCCCAGUAGUGGGGGAUAGCCCGGCGAAAGCCGGAUUAAUACCGCAUACGACCUGAGGGUGAAAGCGGGGGACCGAAAGGCCUCGCGCUAUUGGAGCGGCCGAUGUCGGAUUAGCUAGUUGGUGGGGUAAAGGCUUACCAAGGCGACGAUCCGUAGCUGGUCUGAGAGGACGACCAGCCACACUGGGACUGAGACACGGCCCAGACUCCUACGGGAGGCAGCAGUGGGGAAUUUUGGACAAAGGGGGCAACCCUGAUCCAGCCAUGCCGCGUGCGGGAAGAAGGCCUUCGGGUUGUAAACCGCUUUUGUUCGGGAAGAAAUCCUCUGGGCUAAUACCCCGGGGGGAUGACGGUACCGGAAGAAUAAGCACCGGCUAACUACGUG